AUUGAACGCUGGCGGAAUGCUUUGCACAUGCAAGUCGAACGGCAGCACGGACUUCGGUCUGGUGGCGAGUGGCGAACGGGUGAGUAAUGUAUCGGAACGUGCCCAGUCGUGGGGGAUAACGCAGUGAAAAUUACGCUAAUACCGCAUACGAUCUAUGGAUGAAAGCGGGGGAUCGCAAGACCUCGCGCGAUUGGAGCGGCCGAUAUCAGAUUAGGUAGUUGGUGGGGUAAAGGCCCACCAAGCCAACGAUCUGUAGCUGGUCUGAGAGGACGACCAGCCACACUGGAACUGAGACACGGUCCAGACUCCUACGGGAGGCAGCAGUGGGGAAUUUUGGACAAUGGGCGAAAGCCUGAUCCAGCCAUUCCGCGUGCAGGAUGAAGGCCCUCGGGUUGUAAACUGCUUUUGUACAGAACGAAAAGGUUUCUACUAAUACUAGGAGCUCAUGACGGUACUGUAAGAAUAAGCACCGGCUAACUACGUGCCAGCCGCCGCUGUAA
rnacentral:rRNA from 1 species